rnacentral:lncRNA from 10 species
GGAAGAGCAGUACCCAGAGGAAAGCAACAAAUGUGGUGAAAGGGUCGUCUAAGGAAGGAAAGAACUGGGUUGCUUUCCCUGAACACAGAGGAGAAUAGUAAUAGUGAGUGGCCUGGCUCACUGGGAGUCAUGACUGAUUUGCUUUCACUACUCUGCUGGGUGUCUGCCUGGGCUCCUCCCACCCUCUCCACCUGCUGGGUCCCUGGGAGGCUGACCUGCAGGAGCGGCUCCACAGGCUCUCUUGCCCUGUGACUUCAAGCUGGGUUGGCCAGUGGGGAGCCCUGAUGGGCUUAAGGAGAAUGACACUGGUGUAUUCACUCUCCAGCUCCCUUUCUGUGGAGUCACUGCAGGCUGGCUGUAUCUCCCCACCAAAGGCCACACAUGCCCCGUCAUGCGCCCUCUCCAUGGGGCCCUCUGACUCUGCCUCUGCCAUGUGAGUAAUAGUGACCUCAUCACAAAAAAGAAAAAAAGAAAAAAAAACUCGCAUAAACUCUGCUACAGGAAUGCACGUGUUUUUCGGACCCAGACUUUUUUUUUUCCUGUUUGAUUUAUCUCUCUAUUAUUGGAGAUUUUACUUUUUCUUCCUGGUUUGCACAUGCUGGUCUUAUCAAGAGAGAAGUACUUCUGUCCCAUGUUCACCACUUCCAUAGAAACAAUUCUCUCCAAUCUUUCUAAUAUGAGAAAAGCUGGAAGACAGAAAUGAAAAAAACAAUUUAAAUUGGAAUAAAGAUUUUUGUUUUUUUUAAAAGCGCACAUCCACUUCAGCUGACAAGAUGAUUCCUGAAGAAAUCAGAACAGACAAAGAAGCAAGACAGAGAGAAUAGGUAAGCUAGUAUUAAGUGAAAGGUUGACAGGGAAGUCAGUUCUCUUCGGAGCAAAGCACACCCUGGCAGAGAUGAGCGGGCGUUUAACUCUCCAAGUCCACACCCAGUGGAGUGCGUCACCCAGGCUCUUACCUUUCGUAGCUGAAGAACGCCUUGUGCAAUGACCUGUGCCACAGCCAGCUAAUGACAUGCAGCAUCAGGCAUCUGAGAAAUAAUUAACUGCCUGCCCUUCAUUUUCAGCCUACAAUUAGACAACUGUGGCUGCAAUUGUGUGUGCAGUUUUCCAACAACAAAUAAUUGUGGCUAAAGGCAUGCUUGCAUUGUGAAAGGGAGACAUAAUUGGGACCCCCCUUUAAUAAGUUAGUACCUAAAAUGUAAGCAAGUAUAUAAUUUGGCUAGUGGAAAGACAACCCUGACUUUUUUUAAUUACAUUUUUAUAUUUUAACAAAUGCUUUCCCUAGCCCAUUUGCAGACCUCACUGCAGCAUUGUUGGCAUAGAACAAUCAUAAUUAAACUAUAAGUAAGAAAUGCCACAUCACAGAUGAACCAACACUGAAUCCUAGCAGACUGUAGGGUACCCUGUAUUCAUUGCAGAAGAGGCACCAAUAAAGGCCCAAAAAGCAAAGGACGCAAAUUAUUUCAUUCUACUUGAAAUAUUAACAGAGUCAACCGCAGGGCACCCAGCACAGUGCCCAACACGUGGAAGACACACAUGUCUCUAAUUGAUGCUGUGUUGAGUCCCCUUCCUUGUGCUCCCGCAGCAUUUAAAAGGUGGCUUUACUUUAGCCCUUAGUGCUUCCUGUCUUCUUUCCGUUUGCUUGUUUGUCUGUCUGUCUCCCCCACUGUCCUGUGAGCUAUUGGAAGGAAACAUCCAUGUCUUUUUCAUCCUUUAUUUUCCUGAGCAUAUUUCUGUCUCUGGUGUCAGAAAGCCACAUUAGCCUCUGUCAAACAAAACAAAACAAAACAAAAUGACAGGAAAACGGGGAGCUCUUAGUAGGAUUCCCUUUCUUUCCUCCAUCUCAUGGGGCUGCCUCCUUUAGGGAGCUGGCCUCGUUCUCUCUGCUGCAGGUGGGUGUUCUCUAUGUGGGUGAUAGCAUAAGCGGAUGGCUCUUCAGUCAGACUGCCUCAGCUUGAAGCUGGUUCCACUACUUACUUAGAAUAAAUUACUUAAGCUCUUUGAGUCUCAGUUUCCUCAUCUGUAAAACAGAGACAACAACAAUAAUAAUACCUACCUACCCUAUAAGGUGGUUGUAAAGAUUAAAUGAGAUGAUAAUACACAAGCAGAGCCAGGCAUGGUGGCUCAUGCCUGUAAUCCCAGCACUUUUGGAGGCCGAGGCAGGAGGAUCACCUAAACCCAGGAAUUCAAGACCAGCCUGGACAACAUAGUAAGACCUUGUUCUACUAAAAAUAAUAAAGUUAACCAGUCACAGUGAUGCAUGCUUGUACCAGCUGCUUGGGAGGUUGAGGCAGGAGGAUAGCUUGAGCCCAGGAGUGCGAGGUUGUAGUGAGCCAUGAUUUCGCCACUGCACUCCAGCCUGGGUGACAGAGCGAGACGCUAUCUCAAACAUUUUUUAAAAAGGCACAAGCAACUCACAGCGGUACCCAACACAUGGAAUGUGCUCAAUAAAUGUAUGCUAAUAUACUAUUAGUGUUGCUAUUUUUGUGGAAGAGGUAGAGAGAUAGGCAUGACUAUAGACAUUUCUAGGUGAUAUCAUCCUAACUUAGAGACCCCAAAGGAAAAAGGGGAACAUUUAUAUCCCAGUAUCUAUAUAAACAAUUUCCAGGAGGGACUGAUUAGCUAUGUGUUAUAGAGUUCACCACAAGCCAGGCACUACAGUAGGU